UACGGAGGGUGCAAACGUUGCUCGGAAUCAUUGGGCGUAAAGCGCACGUAGGCGGCGUGAUAAGUUGGGUGUGAAAGCCCUGGGCUCAACCCAGGAAGUGCAUUCAAAACUGUCACGCUUGAAUCUCGGAGGGGGUCAGAGAAUUCCCGGUGUAGAGGUGAAAUUCGUAGAUAUCGGGAGGAAUACCAGUGGCGAAGGCGCUGACCUGGACGAAGAUUGACGCUGAGGUACGAAAGCGCGGGGAGCAAACAGG
rnacentral:rRNA from 1 species